rnacentral:rRNA from 1 species
GCCAUGGCGGCAGCUACCAUGCAGUCGAACGGUAGCACAGAGAGCUUGCUCUCGGGUGACGAGUGGCGGACGGGUGAGUAAUGUCUGGGAAACUGCCUGAUGGAGGGGGAUAACUACUGGAAACGGUAGCUAAUACCGCAUAACGUCGCAAGACCAAAGAGGGGGACCUUCGGGCCUCUUGCCAUCAGAUGUGCCCAGAUGGGAUUAGCUAGUAGGUGGGGUAACGGCUCACCUAGGCGACGAUCCCUAGCUGGUCUGAGAGGAUGACCAGCCACACUGGAACUGAGACACGGUCCAGACUCCUACGGGAGGCAGCAGUGGGGAAUAUUGCACAAUGGGCGCAAGCCUGAUGCAGCCAUGCCGCGUGUAUGAAGAAGGCCUUCGGGUUGUAAAGUACUUUCAGCGGGGAGGAAGGUGAUGAGGUUAAUAACCUCAUCGAUUGACGUUACCCGCAGAAGAAGCACCGGCUAACUCCGUGCCAGCAGCCGCGGUAAUACGGAGGGUGCAAGCGUUAAUCGGAAUUACUGGGCGUAAAGCGCACGCAGGCGGUCUGUCAAGUCGGAUGUGAAAUCCCCGGGCUCAACCUGGGAACUGCAUUCGAAACUGGCAGGCUGGAGUCUUGUAGAGGGGGGUAGAAUUCCAGGUGUAGCGGUGAAAUGCGUAGAGAUCUGGAGGAAUACCGGUGGCGAAGGCGGCCCCCUGGACAAAGACUGACGCUCAGUGCGAAAGCGUGGGGAGCAAACAGGAUUAGAUACCCUGGUAGUCCACGCUGUACACGAUGUCAACUUGGAGGUUGUUCCCUUGAGGAGUGGCUUCCGGAGCUAACGCGUUAAGUCGACCGCCUGGGGAGUACGGCCGCAGGUUAAACUCAAAUGAAUUGACGGGGGCCCGCACAAGCGGUGGAGCAUGUGGUUUAGUUCGAUGCAACGCGAAGAACCUUACCUACUCUUGACAUCCAGAGAACUUAACAUAGAUGCUUUGGUGCGUCGGUACUCUGACACAGUGCUGCAUGGCUGUCGUCAGCUCGUGCUGUGAAUGUGAGGUUAGGUCCAGCACGAGCGCACCCUUAUCCUUUGCUGCAGUCGCAUCCGUCUGGUACUCAAGUAAACUGCCACUGAUAACCUGAAGCAGGUGGGGAGGACGUCAGUCAUAUGUCUGCCAGUAGGGCUCACGCCUGCCUCAUGCCAUUGCAGGACGACUUCAUGAGCACGACCUACAGUGGCUAUCGAUGAUUGGAACUGCGACUCCUGAAGAUCCGA